CGUAGGCGAUGGACAACAGGUUGAAAUUCCUGUACCACCUUUAAUUGUUUGAGAGAUGGAGUGACACAGAAGGAUAAGCGAACCCAGCGGUUGGAAAAGCUGGGCCAAGCGUCAAGGCUGAUCAGGGAGGCAAAUCCCCUUGAUCUUAAGGCUGAGGCGUGACGGGGAACGAAAAAUAAGUAGGGAAGUCGCUGAUUUCACGCUGUCAAGAAAAGCUUCUAUUGAGAGAGAAGGUGCCCGUACCGUAAACCGACACAGGUAGGCGAGGAGAGAAUCCUAAGAUGAGCGGGAGAAGUGUUGUUAAGGAACUCGGCAAAAUGACUCCGUAACUUCGGGAGAAGGAGUGCCCACGCAAGUGGGCCGCAGAGAAGAGGCUCAAGCGACUGUUUAGCAAAAACAUAGGUCUCUGCUAAAUCGAAAGAUGAUGUAUAGGGGCUGACGCCUGCCCGGUGCUGGAAGGUUAAGAGGAGUGCUUAGCGCAAGCGAAGGUGCGAAUUUAAGCCCCAGUAAACGGCGGCCGUAACAAUAACGGUCCUAAGGUAGCGAAAUUCCUUGUCAGGUAAGUUCUGACCCGCACGAAAGGCGUAACGAUUUGAGCGCUGUCUCGACAACACACCCGGUGAAAUUGUAGUACUCGUGAAGAUGCGAGUUACCCGCGACAGGACGGAAAGACCCCGUAGAGCUUUACUGCAAUCUGGCAUUGAGUUUUGGUAGUACACGUACAGGAUAGGUGGGAGGCUAAGAAUUUGGGACGCCAGUUUCGAAGGAGCCAACCUUGGGAUACCACCCUUGUACUAUUGGAAUUCUAACGAGUGGCCGUAAUCCGGUCAUCGGACAGUGUCAGACGGGCAGUUUGACUGGGGCGGUCGCCUCCUAAAAAGUAUCGGAGGCGCCCAAAGUUACCUUCAGGAUGGUUGGAAACCAUCUCUUAGAGUGCAAAGGCAAAAAGGUGAUUGACUGCGAGAGAGACAUCUCGAGCAGAGACGAAAGUCGGGCUUAGUGAUCCGGUGGUUCCGAGUGGAAGGGCCAUCGCUCAACGGAUAAAAGCUACCUCGGGGAUAACAGGCUUAUCUCCCCCAAGAGUCCACAUCGACGGGGAGGUUUGGCACCUCGAUGUCGGCUCGUCUCAUCCUGGGGCUGAAGCAGGUCCCAAGGGUUGGGCUGUUCGCCCAUUAAAGAGGCACGCGAGCUGGGUUCAGAACGUCGUGAGACAGUUCGGUCCCUAUCCGUCGUGGGCGUCAGAUAUUUGAGAAGAGCUGUUCCUAGUACGAGAGGACCGGAACGGACAAACCACUGGUGCACCAGUUGUUCCGCCAGGAGCAUAGCUGGGUAGCUAAGUUUGGAAAGGAUAAGUGCUGAAGGCAUCUAAGCACGAAGCCCCCUUCAAGAUAAGAUAUCUCACCAGAAAUGGUUAAGGUCCCUGAUAGACGAUCAGGUAGAUAGGCUGGAUGUGGAAGUAUGGUAACAUAUGGAGCUGACCGGUACUAAUCGACCGAGGUCUUGAUC
rnacentral:rRNA from 1 species